rnacentral:rRNA from 1 species
UACGUAGGGUGCAAGCGUUGUCCGGAAUUAUUGGGCGUAAAGAGCUCGUAGGCGGUCUGUCGCGUCGGCUGUGAAAACUCGGGGCUCAACCCCGAGCCUGCAGUCGAUACGGGCAGACUAGAGUGCUGUAGGGGAGACUGGAAUUCCGGGUGUAGCGGUGGAAUGCGUAGAGAUCCGGAAGAACACCGGUGGCGAAGGCGGCCUGCUGGGCAGUGGCUGACGCUGAGGCGCGACAGCGUGGGGAGCAAACAGG